AUUGCUUUGGCAGAUGAAUGUGUUAGAUUUAGGAUCUAAUUAUGCGGUGUUGGGGUCGCAGGCAAUA
rnacentral:tRNA from 1 species